UAAGACGAACCGUGCGAACGUUAUUCGGAAUCACUGGGCUUAAAGCGCGUGUAGGCGGGUCGCUGCGUCGGCUGCUGAAAUCCCCCGGCUCAACCGGGGAACGGGCACCGAUACGAGCGGCCUGGAGGGGGGUAGGGGGGUCUGGAACUUCCGGUGGAGCGGUGAAAUGCGUUGAGAUCGGAAGGAACGCCCGUGGCGAAAGC
rnacentral:rRNA from 1 species